rnacentral:lncRNA from 1 species
UUAAUUUAAAUAUCAGAACAACGAACAAAUUAAAUCUACGGAUUUAAUUUAGAUUCAUUUUAUAACUUAUCGAUUUUAGGGAUAUAUCACAUGUCGAAAUCGAGAUUUAUGUAAAUACAAUAUCAAGCAGAAUCGAAGCCAGUAUUUUAUUACAGUUACAGAAUCACGGAGACAGAGAAAAUACAUCAAUAAUUCUCCUCUACAUUGUUUUUUAUUUCUUUUUCUUCUCUUUUUCUUUCCACUACAUCUUGUCAAACACUACAUUUUGUCAAGCAUUACAAUUUGUCGACCCACUACAACAACUUCUCCAACACACUCAAGUGCCUAGCAACAGCUUCUCCUUUAACCUCACACUGCAGUCUCAAUUCACCACUCUCCUCAUUUUUACACUUAGAAGCUUUUGGAGAAGCAGGGACCUUCAUCCGGUGCUCUGCCACU